rnacentral:lncRNA from 1 species
AGGGACGGGAGGGAGCCCGGGUUGCCCAGGCGCGGAGCCGGGCGCAGCGGGCUAGGCUGGGAGCACCUCCAGGAAUUUACCGCGUAGGCGCGGAUUAAACUUGGACGGGAAGACCAGGACUCUCGGGCUUCCGCGUCCGCCCGGCAGCUAGCGCUCCGCGGGACUGGGAACUCUGCAGCCGGUCCCGGUGUGAUUGCUGCCGCCUUGGGAGCAGCCUCCGCCGCGGCCGCCGAGUUCCAAUGGCCCAUUGGAACCUUUUGCUAGGUUUUGGACGCUUAGCAGAACUUUGACAUCGCUGGAGGCGUGGAGCCCUGUUGCACUCGAAUAAUGGCCUCUCUUUGAGAUGAUUCACGUCUAGGGAACACUGGAAAAUGCUGGAUUCACAGUGCCCCUUUGCCUUCGAAAAACUUUUACAUUGGCUUUAAGUACUUUAUUUGGAGGAUGAUUCUGUGAUCUUAUCUACACUGUUCACAAGGCAGCACUUACACAGGCCCAGAACCAUGGUCAUGUAGGAUUCUUUCCUGGGGAAACAAAUACAAAAGGAAGUGGCAACAGUGGGAGUCCUUGUAUUGUAGACUGAAUUAUCCUCCAAAAAGAUAUAUUGAAGUCCUAAACCUUGGUAUCUGUGAAUGUGACCUUAUUUGGACUGCCUUUGCAGACGUAAUCAAGUUAAGAUGAAAUCAUACUGGAGUAGGGUUUGCCCUACUCUAAUAUGACUUGUGUCCUCAUAAAAAGGGAACAGACACAGACACACGCACAGAGAACACCAUAUGAGGAUGGAGGCAGAGAUUGGAGUGCUGUAUCUACAAGACAAGGGAUGCCAAAGAUUGCUGGCAACCCCCAGAAGCUAGGAAGAGGCAAGGAAGGAUUUGCCCCUAGAGCCUUCAAAGACAGCAUGGCCUUGCCAACACCUUGAUCUCAGCUGCUAGUUUCCAGAACUGUGAGACAAUGCAUUUCUCUUGUUUGAAGUCACCCAGUUUGUGGCACUUUGUUACAGCAGCCCUAGGGGGCUCAUACACCUUGUCUUGGUCCCAGUGUCAGAGGGAAAGCUUCAGUGUUUCACCAUUAGGCAUGAUAUUUGCUGAAGGUCCUUUUGGGGGAUAUCUUUUUUCAGAUUCAGAAA